rnacentral:rRNA from 1 species
CCUACGGGAGGCUGCAGUGGGGAAUAUUGCACAAUGGGCGCAAGCCUGAUGCAGCCAUGCCGCGUGUGUGAAGAAGGCCUUCGGGUUGUAAAGCACUUUCAGCGGGGAGGAAGGCGGUGAGGUUAAUAACCUCAUCGAUUGACGUUACCCGCAGAAGAAGCACCGGCUAACUCCGUGCCAGCAGCCGCGGUAAUACGGAGGGUGCAAGCGUUAAUCGGAAUUACUGGGCGUAAAGCGCACGCAGGCGGUCUGUCAAGUCGGAUGUGAAAUCCCCGGGCUCAACCUGGGAACUGCAUUCGAAACUGGCAGGCUAGAGUCUUGUAGAGGGGGGUAGAAUUCCAGGUGUAGCGGUGAAAUGCGUAGAGAUCUGGAGGAAUACCGGUGGCGAAGGCGGCCCCCUGGACAAAGACUGACGCUCAGGUGCGAAAGCGUGGGGAGCAAACAGGAUUGAUACCCAUGUAGUC